rnacentral:rRNA from 1 species
ACUCCUACGGGAGGCAGCAGUGGGGAAUUUUGCGCAAUGGGCGAAAGCCUGACGCAGCAACGCCGCGUGGGUGAUGAAGGUCUUCGGACUGUAAAACCCUGUCGUCAGGGACGAAGGUGCGCAUGUAAAUAGCAUGUGUGCUUGACGGUACCUGGAGAGGAAGCCCCGGCUAACUCUGUGCCAGCAGCCGCGGUAAUACAGAGGGGGCAAGCGUUAUUCGGAAUUGUUGGGSGUAAAGGGCGCGUAGGCGGUUUUUUAAGUUAGAUGUGUAAUCCCCGAGCUUAACUUGGGAACUGCAUCUGAGACUGGAAGGCUAGAGUACUGGAGAGGGUGGUGGAAUUCCUCGUGUAGCGGUGAAAUGCGUAGAGAUGAGSAGGGACACCAGUGGCGAAGGCGGCCACCUGGACAGUAACUGACGCUGAGGCGCGAAAGUGUGGGUAGCAAACAGGAUUAGAUACCCUGGUAGUCCACGCUGUAAACGAUGAACACUUGGUGUGGAGGGAGUUGACCCCUUCCGUGCCGGAGCUAACGCGUUAAGUGUUCCGCCUGGGGAGUACGGUCGCAAGGCUGAAACUCAAAUGAAUUGACG